AACGAACGCUGGCGGCAGGCUUAACACAUGCAAGUCGAACGCCCUAGCAAUAGGGAGUGGCGCACGGGUGAGUAACGCGUGGGAAUGUACCGUUUAGUGGGGGAUAACCAAGGGAAACUUUGGCUAAUACCGCAUACGCCCUUCGGGGGAAAGAUUUAUCGCUAAACGAUCAGCCCGCGUGAGAUUGGGUAGUUGGUGGGGUAACGGCCUACCAAGCCGACGAUCUCUAGCUGGUCUGAGAGGAUGAUCAGCCACACUGGAACUGAGACACGGUCCAGACUCCUACGGGAGGCAGCAGUGGGGAAUAUUGGACAAUGGGGGCAACCCUGAUCCAGCCAUGCCGCGUGAGUGAUGAAGGCCUUAGGGUUGUAAAGCUCUUUUACCGAUGAAGAUAUUGACGGUAGUCGGAGAAAAAGCCCCGGCUAACUUCGUGCCAGCAGCCGCCGUAA
rnacentral:rRNA from 1 species